rnacentral:ncRNA from 1 species
AUCACUAGCUAGGGCUUUCGAAGGUAGGGGUGCAGAGACAACCAGGAGGUUUGCCCAGAAGCAUCCACCCUUGAUAGAGUGUGUAAUAGCUCACUGAUCAAGUGUUAUUGCAUCGAAGAUGAACGGGGCUAAGCGAUCCUGCCGAAACUGUGGGAUGUCAAAAUACAUUGGCAAU